GAUGAAGAACGCAGCGAAAUGCGAUACGUAGUGUGAAUUGCAGAAUUCAGUGAAUCAUCGAAUCUUUGAACGCACUUUGCACCUCUCGGUAUUCCGGGAGGUAUGCCUGUUCGAGCGUCAUUUGUACCCUCAAGCUCUGCUUGGUGUUGGGUGUUUGUUCCGCCUCUGUGUGUGAACUCGCCUCAAAACAAUUGGCAGCCGGCGUACUUGUUUCGGAGCGCAGCACAUUUUGCGAUCCAGAUCAACGUACAGCGGCAUCCAAGAAGCCUUAUUUAACGCUCUUGACCUCGGAUCAGGUAGGGAUACCCGCUGAACUUAAGCAUAUCAAUAAGCGGAGGA
rnacentral:misc_RNA from 1 species